UACGUAGGGUGCAAGCGUUGUCCGGAAUUAUUGGGCGUAAAGAGCUCGUAGGCGGUUUGUUGCGUCGGCUGUGAAAUCCCGAGGCUCAACCUCGGGUCUGCAGUCGAUACGAGCAAACUAGAGUGUUGCAGGGGAGACUGGAAUUCCUGGUGUAGCGGUGAAAUUCGUAGAUAUUAGGAAGAACACCGGUGGCGAAGGCGGCCCACUGGUCCGGUACUGACGCUGAGGUGCGAAAGCGUGGGGAGCAAACAGG
rnacentral:rRNA from 1 species